rnacentral:lncRNA from 1 species
UUCAGAGGGAAAUGCUGAUUAAGGAUUCAUGUGAUCUUGGGAACACCACGUCGAACAAUGGCCUUGACCCAGUGCCAAUAUGUGGCUGGGUUAACCCAGCAGCAUUUUUUUUUUUCCUGGGAUCCACUGAGAGCUGGGGCUCUUUGAUUCCUAACCUUUGAACAGGGUCGGGGGAAAAAGACUUGCUGGAAAGCCUUGAUUCACGCUGUGGUGGUGGUAGUAAGCUCAGGAUCAAAUGGCCGCUUCAUCUUCAAAGACUCCUGAGGCCUCACAGCACUGAAGGGGACAGGCUUGUUUCAGUGUCUGCUUCAGAGGAUGCAAACUCACCGAACUAAUAGGAAAAAACAGGACUGGAUAUUGGAACCAUUAAUCAAAGUCCCCCUGCUGGAUUCUGGUUUCGACUUAACAUAUUAAAUGAAGUUCCAAGAUUUAAUCAAGGAAUGGAGUCUGUCAGGAAAAAGAAAAUCAACUCUGCAGGGCCUGCUUAGUUCCUAACUUCUUAGCAGAGGGUGAGUGAGAUAACUUUCUGAGGUCCCAACUGGCUCUAUGAAUCUGUGGAUUGAGGAGGUUUGGAGCUUGGCGCCGG